GGGAAAACUUGUUGGAAAGAAGUCCACUGCUGCCACCUACUGGCGACUGUGAGAGCUGCCUGAAGAUGUGUCAUUCUUUGAUGAUGUCAUCAGUGAGAGCCCUCAGCUGAAUCAAGGCAUGGUCAGAGCUGCUGCAUUUUGUUCUGCUCACGAUAAAGUGGGUCUUUAACGGCAUUGUCGUUUUACCCGACUCCAUAUGACCUCAAUAAAGGAGUACAAGUUUCAA